GUGAACCUGCGGAGGGAUCAUUACCGAGUUUACAACUCCCAAACCCCUGUGAACAUACCAAUUGUUGCCUCGGCGGAUCAGCCCGCUCCCGGUAAAACGGGACGGCCCGCCAGAGGACCCCUAAACUCUGUUUCUAUAUGUAACUUCUGAGUAAAACCAUAAAUAAAUCAAAACUUUCAACAACGGAUCUCUUGGUUCUGGCAUCGAUGAAGAACGCAGCAAAAUGCGAUAAGUAAUGUGAAUUGCAGAAUUCAGUGAAUCAUCGAAUCUUUGAACGCACAUUGCGCCCGCCAGUAUUCUGGCGGGCAUGCCUGUUCGAGCGUCAUUUCAACCCUCAAGCCCCCGGGUUUGGUGUUGGGGAUCGGCGAGCCUCACGGCAAGCCGGCCCCGAAAUACAGUGGCGGUCUCGCUGCAGCUUCCAUUGCGUAGUAGUAAAACCCUCGCAACUGGUACGCGGCGCGGCCAAGCCGUUAAACCCCCAACUUCUGAAUGUUGACCUCGGAUCAGGUAGGAAUACCCGCUGAACUUAAGCAUAUCAAAGA
rnacentral:rRNA from 2 species